UCCGGUUUGACACCGGCAGUCUCGCUAGAGUGCACCCCAUGACGCGUUGGCAACUAACGACAGGGGUUGCGCUCGUUAAGGGACUUAACCCGACACUUCACAGCACGAGCUGACGACAGCCAUGCAGCACCUGUGUAUGUUCCACCCCGAAGGGCCUACUCCACUUUCAUGGAGAUAAUCCAAGCAUGUCAAGCCCAGGUAAGGUUCUGCGCGUUGCUUCGAAUUGAACCACAUGCUCCACCGCUUGUGUGAGCCCCCGUCAAUUCCUUUGAGUUUUAGCCUUGCGACCGUACUUCCCAGGCGGUCAACUUAGCACUUUUGCUUCGACCGUGACGGCGUCAGAGCCGCCACAAUCUAGUUGACAUCGUUUACAGCCAGGACUAC
rnacentral:misc_RNA from 1 species